AGAGAUUAAACUGAAGAGUUUGAUCCUGGCUCAGAUUGAACGCUAGCGGGAUGCUUUACACAUGCAAGUCGAACGGCAGCAUGAGAGAGCUUGCUCUCUUGAUGGCGAGUGGCGGACGGGGGAGUAAUGUAUCGGAACGUGCCCGG
rnacentral:rRNA from 1 species